CAUUAGAAUGGUCGAGUACGACGAUCAUUUGCGGAAAAUUCUAUUUCGCGAUAUCUUAUAUAGUACAAUAAAAAUUAUAUAGUUUCGAUUUAAUGGAGAAUAUUUUCUUAAAUUUUUGAUAUAUUUCCUUGAUAUCGAUGUUCUUGAUAUCAAUCGUUGAUAAUCCUUUACUUGUAUAAAUUCUUUUCUAAUUCUCGCGAACGCGAACUUAGAAAUCGAUAAACGUGUGAAUCGUAUAAGUGUAUAAACGUAUUAACGUGUUGUAAAUGAAUAAGUGCAUACGACGCGUUUAUUGCAAAAGUGUGAGAAAAACAUGCACGGAUAUUCGGUUAGAAUAAUGUUUUUCAAGCUAUUGAGAAAGUGUAUCUUUCUAAAUAGAACGUCCUUCUCCGCUAAAAUUCGUGAAGAACGAGGGGAAGGUAUCGUUUGAAAAUAGUUCGCGCAAGAAUCGUGCCUGAAACGAGGACGAGGAUAUUUAUCUCAUACGAUUUUAACGGAUUAUUUCAUCUUUCCGAGCAUCGCGAGUACGGUCAAUAGGAAUCAUUUAGAUGUCAUAAAAGUUGCGGAUAUUUGGGUACUUAGAUACAUGAACGUUAGGUGAACACAUAUGGACACACCUUUAUCGCGAGCACAUCGCGUGCAACUCGUGCAAUUCGUGCAGUCAGCACAGCCUGCACAUACUUCGGCCGUACCGAAUGCAAGGUGACGGAGAUGCACGCACGGCUUUAUUCCCUUGCAACUUGACACACUCGUUUAAUCAUAUAUGUAUGUAUGUAUGUAUAAUACCGACUUCGAAUCUCCGCUGGUCGAAUGUUCGAACAUGAAUUUCCGAACAAAUCGCUCUUUAUUCUAUUCAUAUUAUUAUUUUAAAAACGUGUACGUUUUUACCGCUUGCGGCUGUUCUCGCGUGACUCUUUACGUAUAUACGUUUAAAUCGAUAACAAUAUGGGAUAAUAGUUUAUAAGAGAAAGUGAAAUUAUUCGUUGAAAUCACCGGAGAAAAAGAAAGGAAGAAAAAGAGAUAGAUUUAAUAGAAAUAGAAAUAAAAAUUGGAGAUAUAGAAAAGGAGGAAACUGAUUAGAAAAAUGGAUUUGUCAACAAUUACCGUCAUCUUUUCAACGAGAGCGACAAUCGUCUUUUCGAAAAAUGAAUAUUUAUUUACAAAAAGUCUGUAUUCAAUUUGAAGAUAACUUACAGUCAGUCAUAUUCAUAGAUUUUAAAUAAGAUUGCUCGUUAACGCGUUAAACAUCAUCGUAAAUAUCUGAUAGUUGGCAAAAACGUGAGAUCGCAAUAUAAUAAUUUCUCCUGGGCAUGAUUUGCACUAUUGCUUCUCAAAACGUAGUAAUGUUUUCGUCAUUUGCUUCACUCUUAUCACACGUUUUAUUUCGAAACAAUUUUUAUCAUAACAGCACGUACAUUAAUAUAGAAAACUCGUAAUGGCAUUAUCAUGAGGAUAUUUAAAUGAUUGGUCCAGAUUUCGUCUCCCAUGAGAUAUACUGGUAAAUCAUAUCGAAUUAAGCAAAAUUUUCUUAAAGGACUUUUAUAAAUAUAUUCAAAAAAGUCGUAACAUAUGAAUUUAAAAAAAAAAAAAGAUAAAGAAAAAAUUCGAGAUCGAAGAACAAAAAAUCACGAUGGGAGAUGCAUACUGUCCAAUAUUUUUCACAUCUCUACAGCUGAAAUGCUUUUUUAAAGAUACAACAAAAAUACUAUGCAUUAUGAAGUACUUCUAAAUAUAUGGACUUUACUUUUUGUGUAAUCUCAGCAUCUUUGUGCAAAAUAGUCGCAAUACUGAAGAAAGCAA